UACGGAGGGUGCAAGCGUUAUCCGGAUUUAUUGGGUUUAAAGGGUCCGUAGGCGGAUCUGUAAGUCAGUGGUGAAAUCUCACAGCUUAACUGUGAAACUGCCAUUGAUACUGCAGGUCUUGAGUGUUAUUGAAGUAGCUGGAAUAAGUAGUGUAGCGGUGAAAUGCAUAGAUAUUACUUAGAACACCAAUUGCGAAGGCAGAUUACUAAGCAACAACUGACGCUGAUGGACGAAAGCGUGGGGAGCGAACAGG
rnacentral:rRNA from 1 species